GCGGCGGCGGCGGCCAGCCCCUGCGCCGAGGCGGCGGCGGCGGCGGCUGCGGCGGUGGCGAACAGCGCGGCCGGGGACCCGGCUCGGCGUCGGCCGCGGCGGCGGGGCAGGGCGAGGCGGCGGCGGCGGCGGCGGCGCCCGCGCCCGCGCCCCCCACGGCGGAAGCGGCGGCCACCCCCUACGUGGGGCUGCGGCGGCCCCUGGGCUACCAGCUGGCCAAGGCCACCAAGGAGCGCAUCUGGCGGGGGGAGUUCAUUGACCUCUUUUCCUUGCUCCACACAGAGCUGACCCCCGAGCACGGCCCGCACCCGGGGGACACGCUGGACCAGUGGGUGUCGGCCUUUCUGGUGUACGCCAGCGUGGUGUGCGAGAAGCACCCGGCGCGCUGCGGGGCCAUGUUCAAGUACCUGGACACCAUCCGUAAGCUGCACGCCACCUACGGGGGCACCUCGUGGAUGAACUACGACGAGGACUUCCGGCGGCGGGCGGCCAAGGACCCCAACCUGCCGUGGGGCGACGUCGACCUGGACCUGUGGAUGAAGUGGAUGGCCCCUCUCAAGUCGCUCCUCAGCAGGCACAAUCGUAUCGAGAGCGAGCCGAAGGCCGCGCCGCCGGCACAGCCACCGCCUUCAUCGUCGUCGUCAUCCCAGAGCCCCAAGAAGGAGGAGAAGAGCCAGGAGUUGGAAAUGCCAGUCAUUCUCUCCCCUGGGAUGUAACGCGUUUUCCUUAGGACAUCAGAAGAAAGACUCCGUGAAAGCAGAAGGCCAGUUGGAAUGGCAGGCAGGAUAAGCGGCCUGACUCCGUUGGUGUUUAAGUGGAGCUCUGGUAUUCUAGUGCAUUCUUUUACCUCUGCUUCUGUUGCGUUGCAAGCUGUGCUAGAGAAGACGUAGGAAAUUCAUUUUACCCAAUCAGCAAUUGUAACAAUGGACUACAAACCUGCAGAGCAAGCCAGUUUGCUGGAAAACAGGAAUUCCUGCAGCGCAGCACUUGUCACAGACUAUCCAAAGAGGGCAAAGAUUCAGGAGAGUGAAUAAAUUGAACAUUGAUUGAAUGAGGUCAGGAACGAUCUCCCGGAGGAGAGCCCUGCCCUAAAAUACUACUUUGAGAGUAUAAGCCAAUUUAAUGCGCAGAUUAACCCUUCUCAUUUGAGCAAACUUGUGUGCAAUCCUGGAUCUUUGCAGAUCACGACUGGACACUUCAAAAAAAAAACAAAAUCUGUGUACUAUAUUUGCUUAAAAAAUAAAUCCUACCUUGUCUUGUUACACCUGUUAAUUUUAGCAUUUCAUUGACAAUAUCUGCAACAGAAAUGUAUAUUUGACUUGACGCAGUAUCCUACAUUUGGUAUAACUCAGGUUGUUGACAAAAUUAUUCUGUGAGGCUCAGUACCACCUCUUCGUUCUGCUCUGAACAAAGUUCUUUAACCAUUGCUGUCAUUUCCAGAAGUAAUUUAUAGCCCAUGUAUGCAUUGCAAAAUUCUUGAACGGAUUUAAUAGCUGACCUAAAUUAUUGUUCUUGUUUUAUCCUCAUAGAAUAGUUAGCAUCUUGAACGUCAGACCAGACUUUUGUGGUCUGACGUUCAUGAAAAUCAUUCAUUGGUUCAUGGUUUAAUUGUUUUACAUCUCCGUAUUUUGUUUUCUUUUCCUCUCCCCUCGCAUACUAGGGAGUAUGAUCAAGGUAAUACUAUGAUCCAGUAACGCGCUUGAUGGUAAGGGUUUGCCUUUAGUUGUUUCAGGAAAAAAAAACCAACUGCCAUUAUCUGCUCUCCUUUAACUUUCUUGAUAGUUUCAAUAAUAUGCUUAACAUGAAGUGUUUGUAAAUCGAUUAAAAAAAAAAUGUUUGUGACUUCACCUAAAUAAAUUUUUAUAUAUAUGAAUACUGUUCUUGAUCCUAGUCUUUGGUUUUUUCCCCCCUCCCUUGCUCUUACAUCGUCAUUUCCCAUCCUGUAGUCACCUUUUUCCGUGACCUGAGCUUUUACAGAGUUCUUGUUUUUCAGUUAGGAAAGCACAACAGAGCCAUAACUGUUGUCGAGAACAAUAAUCAGCCUCUGAAGUUGACUUUCAGUGUUUUGAUAUUUGAAGGUUGUAACCGUAGGUGUCAUAGCUUAUUGAUGUUUGCUGAGACAACAGCAGGUGUCAGGCCUGGAUCUGUCUCACAAUGUAGUAUCUGCAGUAUUGAAACACCAGUAGUUCAAGUGGUCUCUGAAAUGGGAUUCUAAUCCAGUGCAGGCUGAUACUUGCAUUCAGUAGGACGGAACGUAGAAUAGUUUUGCAAAUGUAGUUACAAGCUGUAAAAAUCUUUCAUGUUUGAGAAUGUGCUUAAGCUCAGAGUAACCACAUGUAGCAUUUUUUCCCUGUCCUGUUUUCUUAAGAAACUGAAUUUGUGUUACUUGCUGAUCUGUGCUGCGUCUCUUCCCAGCAUUGUUACGUGUUAAUCAUUGCAGCAUCUUCUCCUGAGGAAGUUCUGUAACAACAGCAGGAUCUGGGGGGACAGGAGGGCAUCGGGUGGCAGGAGAAGCAAGGAAGGAUGAGCAGACAUUGGUCACCUUUGUCCCAGUGGCAAAUUGCACAAGUGUGAUUUUUAACCUACUGACUCAGGGCAGUGAAGCAGCAUCUGUGCUUUUCCUGUCUUACUUGGGAGCAGCACAUCCAGCUGGAGUCUGUUGCACUUCCUAUGCUCUUUGCUGAAUCCUUCUGCCAAGAACCCUGGUUUUGUUUGUUGCUCCCUCCAGUCCCCAUGCAGGCUGGUGCCCUUCCUGGCACCCUGGCACCUCCCAGUUUCCUGGCUGCUGCUGAGGCUGGGUCGGACCACCCUGUCCUCUCUGUCUGUUGGAGGCCAUUGCCAGGGCUCUGCCUUUCUCUCCAGUGUUGGUGGCUGUUUUAAAAUUGCUUCCUGUUUUCAAAAGGAAAUUUGCCUUUCAAAUCGUUAGUGUUUUUAAGACAUAUGGGAUCUCCUCUUAACCUCUCCCUGCCUUUUUUUUUUUUUCUUUAAUUCUUGUUCUUCAUUAACUUGGCUUUCAUCAGUGUCUUUGAGCCACCCAGUAAUUUCACUGAGUGAUGUGUGAAGAAUACAGCAUACAAUAGGUGAGAAGAUUGGAGCGGAAGUCAGUUGUGAUUUUAUUAUCCAUAUGCUACGACUGCAGCAGAAAUUGAGAAUACCCAAUUUUUUAAAUACUGUUUUGGUAACUUCUGUUACUUAGGUAGGAUGGGGAGAUGCUCACUUCAGCGUUACUGCAAUUUCUGAUGCUUUGCUUGAAAUAAAUCUUGAUCAUUUGUAUGAAGCUGCAGCGAAGAUGGAAGGCUGAUGUAAUUUCCAGUUGGGAAUACUCCUGCAAUGCGUGGAUUUGUUAGGGAGGACCAGCAUGGUACAGAAAAACAAUUUUCUUUCGGUUGAUUGGAAUCGUGUAGCAUAGUUCUGGGGGUAAUUUCAGGUAAGUUAAUUGGUAGGGAUUUCUGGCAAGACAGGUACUUUUUUCACAGAUGUGCUUUUUGUGGACUAGAUUGAUAAGCGUUCUUAUUACAAAGAGCUAAUUAAAACCAGUGUGGCAUGACUGGCAGCGCUGAGUGUGUUGCAACUUGGAAAGGGAUGAGACAGAACUGCGUAAACCUGGGCAAACUUGCAGGGCCAGGGAGUUCAAAGUCAGCGCACAGCAAAGGUAGAGUCAAAUCAGUGGUUGUUCAGGCUCCAACUGUGUGCAGCAGUGAGAUGUGAGCAUCUUAAAAAUGAGACUUACUACUUUUCUACCCUUAUCUACUGCAGUGAUGGGUCUUAAACGUAAGCUGACAACAUCUUGCACGUGAGGUAGCCCUUCACAUCUGCAAUUGAGGAAAAUUAUAACUUUUGGGCUCCGAUGAGAUCCUGUUGGUUUUUCAAUGUGACUUCCAACUCAAGCCUAAAUUGUUGCUUUCCUAUCCUACUCUUUCUCCCAUUGCCUCAUUGGUUGUGGUUUUCUCCUUGAUAAAAAUCUGGUGAAUGUACCAAUGUGUUCUGAGGGCCAGCCUUAGGAUCAGGCAGUGUCUGCUGGGCUGUCUGCAUGCACAGAGCCUUUCACACUGAUGUAGGUAGUUACACCAAGUUAAUAUAGUCCAUUGCGAAUAAAUUUCAUAAACAUCUAGGUUAGCUUGCAUCUAGCUGUGUGGAUGGAGUACACAUGGGAGACUUGAGGCUGCCUGCAAGGCUCCUGUGUUUUUCAGGAGGCGGUGCAGCUGGUCACAGAUCUAUCUGUGCACUCCCAUGGUAAAAUCAAAACCAAAACCCCAGAGACUGUUGUAGGCAGUGAGAGGUGGGAUGUGAGUCAGUGCUAACAACCGAAGUGUUUGUGGAAAUGUUGCCUAGUAAAGUUAUCAAAUAUUUUGGGGGCCAUCUGCUUAGUAGGGACUGCAACAAUUGACAGUGUCUACGGGAGUGCUUUUGGCAGUUCUUUAGCAGAGCAAUUAUGUCCCUGAAAACUUGGCUAGAGAAAUUACAAAGCUAGAUCAUACUUUUCCCCUCAUGCUGGUUCUCAAGUUUGACUGUCACGCUGUCCCAAAGUUCAGUGUGCAGUAGCUGAACACAUACAUUCUUACGUGUAUAAUUUUCUGGGUCCAACACUCUCUUUGCUCAGGUUUUUUAUUCCUGGGAGUUCUCCCCAAAACUGGUUGGCGUCUUUGUAGUGUGGCAUUCUACUGGGCAACCAGCUAAGUGGCACCUGAGGUUUAAAA
ensembl:lncRNA